rnacentral:rRNA from 1 species
GAUGAACGCUGGCGGCGUGCCUAAUACAUGCAAGUCGAGCGAACAGACGAGGAGCUUGCUCCUCUGACGUUAGCGGCGGACGGGUGAGUAACACGUGGAUAACCUACCUAUAAGACUGGGAUAACUUCGGGAAACCGGAGCUAAUACCGGAUAAUAUAUUGAACCGCAUGGUUCAAUAGUGAAAGACGGUUUUGCUGUCACUUAUAGAUGGAUCCGCGCCGCAUUAGCUAGUUGGUAAGGUAACGGCUUACCAAGGCAACGAUGCGUAGCCGACCUGAGAGGGUGAUGCGCCACACUGGGACUGAGACACGGUCCAGACUCCUACGGGAGGCAGCAGUAGGGAAUCUUCCGCAAUGGGCGAAAGCCUGACGGAGCAACGCCGCGUGAGUGAUGAAGGUCUUCGGAUCGUAAAACUCUGUUAUUAGGGAAGAACAAAUGUGUAAGUAACUAUGCACGUCUUGACGGUACCUAAUCAGAAAGCCACGGCUAACUACGUG